GGAGUUAGCCGGUGCUUCUUCUGUGAGUGAUGUCCUUCCUGCCGGCUAUUAACCCGCAGGCCUUCUUCCUCACUGAAAGUGCUUUACAACCCGAAGGCCUUCUUCACACACGCGGCAUGGCUGGAUCAGGGUUGCCCCCAUUGUCCAAUAUUCCCCACUGCUGCCUCCCGUAGGAGUCUGGGCCGUGUCUCAGUCCCAGUGUGGAUGAUCAUCCUCUCAGACCAGCUACGGAUCGUCGACUUGGUGAGCCGUUACCUCACCAACCAGCUAAUCCGACAUAGGCUCAUCCGAUAGCGCGAGGCCCGAAGGUCCCCCGCUUUCCCCCGUAGGGCGUAUGCGGUAUUAGCCUGGGUUUCCCCAGGUUAUCCCCCACUACCGGGCAGAUUCCUAUGCAUUACUCACCCGUCCGCCGCUCGCCACCAGGGAGCAAGCUCCCCGUGCUGCCGCUCGACUUGCAUGUGUUAGGCCUGCCGCCAGCGUUCAAUCUGAGCCAGGAUCAAACUCUGA
rnacentral:rRNA from 1 species